CAAUACUCAUUUUGAGUAUCGGGUAUAAAAACGAAAUCAGAUUAAAACAAAUCAAAGCAGACAAAGGCUUUAGUUCGGAACAAGUUGUUAUUAAGGGAAAUAAUGAAAGAUGGGAGUUAAUUAAGAUGGGAAAAAUGCAUGUGAACUGCGGAAUAGUUUCCAGAAAUGCCAUUUCCCGAUAGUCUAUUAUAUUCGGAAACCUUCUGUGACGGCCCAUAUUUGGAUGGACUUAUUUGUGUGCACAGAGCUGUAGCUUAUCAGCAUGCAAGGGAAUAAACGGGAAUAAAGCGAAAGCUUUUGACGAGAGAGCGAGCUUUGGGUUAUCUUGGUGGGUUAUCUAGCCCUUGUGCUUUAGAAUGGGAUGAAGAAACAAAAUCAAAGCUCAAGCGCUGGAUCAUUCGAUCCAUGGAACUAAAUUGUGGAAGGUCAGUUUGGUGGUACGGCGAGAUAAAAGAAAAGAAAAGAAUAAAAGGUUAUACACGUGUCUGAAAAAAAAAAGAAAAAUUGAAAUCAAUAAAUCGUCGAAAGUAGGGUGCACAUGCCAAGCUGCCCCAAAAAAUUAAGAUCAGUGUGCCGAAAAGCCGAAAAAUCUGUGGUUCUCCAAGGAUAAACCCGGUUUCAAGCCCCAAACGGGGUCUGAGCUUUGCCAGUCGAUCUCGGUUUCUCCAGUGUAAUUUAAUAUUGACGAAAGUUAUCCAACGGAGGUCAAACUUCUUCCGCACAACGAAAAUUUGCGAUCAACCUUAUUUUUGACCUUGGCAGAGGACAUACAGUUGCCUCUGAAAUUCUAUGUCGUGGCCUGGAUAGGCACAGACAUAUCCAUAUCGGAUGUCUUCAAGGAAAAGGAUUGACACACACUCACACACACACUGAAUUCAACCGACACAUCAAUGCAUGCAGGCCUGUUGCAGCGAUGGAAAACCAAACGUUAGCACCAGAAUCUCUUGUAUGUGUUUAGCUGGAACAACUGAAAGAUCCCCCCCAUCCGACGAGCCCUAGCCGAAAGAUCCCACACAGUGCUAACCAUAACAUCUAUGCAAGUUGUCUAGUUUGUGGAAUGCGUCUCGAAAGCUACCACACCAGAACACCGGGACACAUUACAAAAGUGGCGCCCAACGUGGGGCACGAUACAACAACAACCGUAACAAAACUUUGUGUCUCAGUUAUUGUCAGCAUAUAGAAUUUUUGCUUUUGUUUCCUUUCUGGAAAACUGCAAUGGUUGAUGCAAGUCACAGUCCAUUCUGUCCGAAACGAUGAGGGAGCAUCGGGUCUAUAUGCGUGCCAGGAGCUAAGUGGAAGAAAAUUGUAUUAAUGUCUGUGGAAAUCUUUAAGAUUUAGAAUGCUAGUCAUUAAAUCUUGCUGCCCGGAACAAUUGGUAUAUUUUUUUUCUGAAGCUUCAGCUCGUGUUGAAGACAAUAUUUUUUUUUUAAUAGUAUAUUUUGGGAACAAGUCAUGGUGUGAUAUGUAUUGCCAUAAUCUUUGUAUGUUCCAAAUCUCAAUACCCUUGAUCCGUAUAGUUUAUUUUUGGAGUGAAUUUGACAUUUUCGAGCAUUUAUUCGGUAAAAUUCUUAAAGAUUGAUUUGUGUGUGCACCAUGGCCGUAAGACGAAGCUUAGAUAUGACCACAUCCACAAAUAAUGAACAGGUUUGCAGAGUCUGUUCACACCCAAUGAUUUCAUUGGAUUUAAAACUCAUAACACGAUGUAAACAUAUUUUCCAUAGAACAUGCAUUUUGAAUUGGCUUGAUAAGUCGCGAUCUUGCCCAACAUGUCAAAACAAUGUUACAAGAAACAGUUUAUUAGAGGUUCUUUCCGAAAAUGUUGCCGACCACAAUCUGAACCUGGAAACAAAUAGUUUGGAGAGGAUUCUGUUAACUAAUAGUCAAAAGAAGAAAAAGAGACAGUCGCAGCAAUCAAAUGAGAUAGUAGAUCUCGAGGAUAACAGUAACGUAUUGUCUAAUUCUGCUUCUGCGGAUAACCCAAACCAUCAUGGUUUCUUAGAGCAGAGAAUAUUAUUACAGGUAGAUCAUCGAAUAACUUCGCAAAUUAGUCAAAUGCAGUCCAUGAUCUCGGAACUGUUUCGUCAAAUUUCUAAGCUAACAACAGACAGGGCAGGAAGAACGGAUGCAAUACCUAACUUCCAUACCAAUGCAGAUGAUAAUGGAAAUAA